UUUAUGCUCGUACCUUUUGCAUCAUGAAUUAGCCAGUGAAACCCAAGCAAAGCGAACUUUAGUUUGUUACCCGAAACUAAGUGAGCUACUCCAAGACAGCCUUUUAGUAGGGCCAACCCGUCUCUGUGGCAAAAGAGUGGGAGGAGCUUUGAGUAGAGGUGAUAAACCUACCGAACUUAGUAAUAGCUGGUUGCCCAGGAAUUGGAUAGGAGUUCAGCCCCUUAUGCUUCUCCAUUCCCAUCAGUUACACCUCUACCUGAUAAAUAAGAAGCUUAGGGAGUUAUUCAAAAGGGGGACAGCCCUUUUGAAACAAGAUACAACUUUCCCAGGAGGAUAAAGAUCAUAAUUCAUUAAAGGUACAAAUAUUUAGGUGGGCUUAAGACCAGCCAUCCUUGUAGAAAGCGUUAAAGCUCAAAUAUACCACCACCUUAAAUUCCGAUCAUAAUAUCUUACUCCCCUAAUCUUACUGGGCCAUUCUAUGCAAACAUAGAAGUGACCAUGCUAACAUGAGUAAUAAGAGAGCACAGCCUCUCUCCUAGCACAUGUGUACAUCGGAACGGACCCACCACCGAACUUUAACGGCCCCAAUCAAAGAGGGGAUUGAACAACAGCUUAACUAACUAGAAAAAACCUCAUAAACGCACCGUUAACCCCACACAGGUAUGCUAUAUAAGGAAAGACUAAAAGGGGAAGAAGGAACUCGGCAAAUAAUAAAAAGCCUCGCCUGUUUACCAAAAACAUCGCCUCUUGUAGUUAUAAGAUAAGAGGUCCCGCCUGCCCUGUGACAUUAGUUUUUAACGGCCGCGGUAUUUUAACCGUGCGAAGGUAGCGUAAUCACUUGUCCCUUAAAUGAGGACCUGUAUGAAUGGCAUAACGAGGGCUUAACUGUCUCCUACCCCUAGUCAAUGAAAUUGAUCUCCCCGUGCAGAAGCGGGGAUAUACUCAUAAGACGAGAAGACCCUAUGGAGCUUUAGACGCCAGAACAGCUCAUGUCCAGAACCCUAAAAAUAUAAAUAGGAUAAACAUAAUGCACCCUGUUCUAGUGUCUUUGGUUGGGGCGACCGCGGAGAGAUAAACAACCUCCAUGUGGAAUGAUAACACAGUUAUUUUAAUCAAGAGUUACAACUCUAACUUACAGAAUUUCUGACCAGCAAGAUCCGGCAAAGCCGAUCAACGGACCGAGUUACCCUAGGGAUAACAGCGCAAUCCCCUUUUAGAGCCCAUAUCGACAAGGGGGUUUACGACCUCGAUGUUGGAUCAGGACAUCCUAAUGGUGCAGCCA
rnacentral:rRNA from 1 species